rnacentral:rRNA from 1 species
UGUUUAUCAAAAACAUGUCUUUUUGAAUUUAUAUAAAGUCUAACCUGCCCAUUGAAAUAAUUUAAAAGGCAGCAGUAUUUUGACUGUACAAAGGUAGCAUAAUCAUUAGUUCUUUAAUUGAGAACUUGUAUGAAUGGUUGAAUGAAAUAUUAACUGUUUCAUGAAAAUUUUAUUAGAAUUUUAUUUUUUAGUUAAAAAGCUAAAAUUUAAUUAGAGGACGAGAAGACCCUAUAGAAUUUAAUAAUUUUUAUAAUUUAUUUUUUUUGAAGAAUUUUAUUAAAAUUUAUUUUAUAAUUUAUUUUAUUGGGGUGAUAUUAUAAUUUAAUAAACUUAUAUUUUUUUUUUACAAAAAUUUUUGAUUUAAUGAUCUUUUAUUAUAGAUUUAAAGAAUAAAUUACCUUAGGGAUAACAGCGUAAUUUUAUUUUUAAGUUCAUAUUUAUAAUAAAGAUUGCGACCUCGAUGUUGGAUUAAA